rnacentral:rRNA from 1 species
GCUGGUUCUCCCCGAAAGCUAUUUAGGUAGCGCCUCGUGAAUUCAUCUCCGGGGGUAGAGCACUGUUUCGGCAAGGGGGUCAUCCCGACUUACCAACCCGAUGCAAACUGCGAAUACCGGAGAAUGUUAUCACGGGAGACACACGGCGGGUGCUAACGUCCGUCGUGAAGAGGGAAACAACCCAGACCGCCAGCUAAGGUCCCAAAGUCAUGGUUAAGUGGGAAACGAUGUGGGAAGGCCCAGACAGCCAGGAUGUUGGCUUAGAAGCAGCCAUCAUUUAAAGAAAGCGUAAUAGCUCACUGGUCGAGUCGGCCUGCGCGGAAGAUGUAACGGGGCUAAACCAUGCACCGAAGCUGCGGCAGCGACGCUUAUGCGUUGUUGGGUAGGGGAGCGUUCUGUAAGCCUGUGAAGGUGUGCUGUGAGGCAUGCUGGAGGUAUCAGAAGUGCGAAUGCUGACAUAAGUAACGAUAAAGCGGGUGAAAAGCCCGCUCGCCGGAAGACCAAGGGUUCCUGUCCAACGUUAAUCGGGGCAGGGUGAGUCGACCCCUAAGGCGAGGCCGAAAGGCGUAGUCGAUGGGAAACAGGUUAAUAUUCCUGUACUUGGUGUUACUGCGAAGGGGGGACGGAGAAGGCUAUGUUGGCCGGGCGACGGUUGUCCCGGUUUAAGCGUGUAGGCUGGUUUUCCAGGCAAAUCCGGAAAAUCAAGGCUGAGGCGUGAUGACGAGGCACUACGGUGCUGAAGCAACAAAUGCCCUGCUUCCAGGAAAAGCCUCUAAGCAUCAGGUAACAUCAAAUCGUACCCCAAACCGACACAGGUGGUCAGGUAGAGAAUACCAAGGCGCUUGAGAGAACUCGGGUGAAGGAACUAGGCAAAAUGGUGCCGUAACUUCGGGAGAA